AUUGAACGCUGGCGGCAGGCCUAACACAUGCCAGUCGAACGGUAACAGGAAACAGCUUGCUGUUUCGCUGACGAGUGGCGGACGGGUGAGUAAUGUCUGGGAAACUGCCUGAUGGAGGGGGAUAACUACUGGAAACGGUAGCUAAUACCGCAUAACGUCGCAAGACCAAAGAGGGGGACCCUCGGGCCUCUUGCCAUCGGAUGUGCCCAGAUGGGAUUAGCUUGUUGGUGGGGUAACGGCUCACCAAGGCGACGAUCCCUAGCUGGUCUGAGAGGAUGACCAGCCACACUGGAACUGAGACACGGUCCAGACCCCUACGGGAGGCAGCAGUGGGGAAUAUUGCACAAUGGGCGCAAGCCUGAUGCAGCCAUGCCGCGUGUAUGAAGAAGGCCUUCGGGUUGUAAAGUACUUUCAGCGGGGAGGAAGGGAGUAAAGUUAAUACCUUUGCUCAUUGACGUUACCCGCAGAAGAAGCACCGGCUAACUCCGUG
rnacentral:rRNA from 1 species